UAAAGCGGUACGCGAGCUGGGUUCAGAACGUCGUGAGACAGUUCGGUCCCUAUCUUCCGUGGGCGCAGGAAAUUUGAGAGGAUCUGUCCUUAGUACGAGAGGACCGGGAUGGACGAACCUCUAGUGCACCAGUUAUCCCUCCAGGGGUAUGGCUGGGUAGCCAUGUUCGGAUCAGAUAACCGCUGAAAGCAUAUAAGCGGGAAACUGACCUCAAGAUAAGAUUUCCCUCCCGUGUAAACGGGGUAAGACUCCUUCGAGACUAGGAGGUUGAUAGGCGGCAGGUAGAAGCGUUGUAAGACGUUUAGCCGAGCCGUACUAAUCAGUCGAGCGGCUUGACCAU
rnacentral:ncRNA from 1 species